GAUGAACGCUGGCGGCGUGCCUAAUACAUGCAAGUCGAGCGAACAGACGAGGAGCUUGCUCCUCUGACGUUAGCGGCGGACGGGAGAGUAACACGUGGAUAACCUACCUAUAAGACUGGGAUAACUUCGGGAAACCGGAGCUAAUACCGGAUAAUAUAUUGAACCGCAUGGUUCAAUAGUGAAAGACGGUUUUGCUGUCACUUAUAGAUGGAUCCGCGCCGCAUUAGCUAGUUGGUAAGGUAACGGCUUACCAAGGCAACGAUGCGUAGCCGACCUGAGAGGGUGAUCGGCCACACUGGAACUGAGACACGGUCCAGACUCCUACGGGAGGCAGCAGUAGGGAAUCUUCCGCGAGGGGCGAAAGCCUGACGGAGCAACGCCGCGUGAGUGAUGAAGGUCUUCGGAUCGUAAAACUCUGUUAUUAGGGAAGAACAAAUGUGUAAGUAACUAUGCACGUCUUGACGGUACCUAAUCAGAAAGCCACGGCUAACUACGUG
rnacentral:rRNA from 1 species